UACAGAGGUCCCAAGCGUUGUUCGGCUUCAUUGGGCGUAAAGCGCGUGUAGGCGGCCCGGUAAGUCCGCUGUGAAAGUCGGGGGCUCAACCCUCGGAUGCCGGUGGAUACUGUCGGGCUUGAGUACGGAAGAGGCGAGUGGAAUUCCUGGUGUAGCGGUGAAAUGCGCAGAUAUCAGGAGGAACACCAAUUGCGAAGGCAGCUCGCUGGGACGUUACUGACGCUGAGACGCGAAAGCGUGGGGAGCAAACAGG
rnacentral:rRNA from 1 species